CCUACGGGGUGCAGCAGUGGGGGAUAUUGCACAAUGGGGGAAACCCUGAUGCAGCGACGCCGCGUGGGCGAAGAAGUAUUUCGGUAUGUAAAGCCCUAUCAGCAGGGAAGAAGAAAUGACGGUACCUGAGUAAGAAGCACCGGCUAAAUACGUGCCAGCAGCCGCGGUAAUACGUAUGGUGCAAGCGUUAUCCGGAUUUACUGGGUGUAAAGGGAGCGCAGGCGGCGCGUUAAUCCUGGUGUGAAAGCCCGCGGCCCAACCGCGGGACUGCAUUGGGAACUGGCGCGCUGGAGUGCCGGAGGGGUAGGCGGAAUGCCUAGUGGAGCGGUGAAAUGCGUAGAUAUUAGGAGGAACACCAGUGGCGAAGGCGGCCUACUGGACGGUGACUGACGCUGAGGCUCGAAAGCGUGGGGAGCAAACAGGAUUAGAUACCCUUGUAGUC
rnacentral:rRNA from 1 species